GACGGAGGGUGCAAGCGUUGUUCGGAUUGACUGGGCGUAAAGGGCGUGUAGGCGGUCGGCCAAGUCUGAUGUGAAAGCCCGAGGCUCAGCCUCGGAAGUGCGUCGGAAACUAGUCGGCUGGAGCGCGAUAGAGGAGGGUGGAAUUCCUGGUGUAGCGGUGAAAUGCGUAGAUAUCAGGAGGAACACCUGUGGCGAAAGCGGCUCACUGGACCACAACUGACGCUGAUGCACGAAAGCUAGGGGAGCAAACAGG
rnacentral:rRNA from 1 species